rnacentral:lncRNA from 1 species
AGCAUAACUGUGGGAGAAUAGUAAGCAUUGGACACAAAAUGGAAAAGCUGACCUUCUGGUACGGAAGAGCAUGAGCAGUGAGUGAGCAGUGCCCAUGCGUUGUGAGGCGGCCUCCAUGGUAUAAGGUUUAGGCAAAUAAUGAUGAACAAAAAUGGUCAGUCUGUGUUCCUGCUGACCCAGCACAGUGGGGACGCUGUGUAGGACAUGACCUUUGGGGGAAAGGACACAAGAACUCAGCGUGGGGGAUCCAGAAAAGAAGUCGCACGUAUUGAAGCCAGUAACGCCAAGCCAGUGAAUUCUCCUUGACGAGAAAGACCCACUUACUCUGCAGAAGAGAUAUAUGACAGCUGACAAUCCCUGGAGGAGAAUCUUUCUACUAAAUUGAACUGAUCCGAGAGGACAGGGAAGUCAGUGUGGGCGGCUCUAAGGAGCCUCCCUCUCUACAGCUGCGGCUCAGAGGAUUACGGCGCUUCAUCCACAAGGCAACAUUGCACAAGUAGCUUUUGAACAAAAGUCAUGGAUACUAUUAAUGAUAUGGUAAUCCUUAAUCGAGCUACCUCCCAGUAGUGAUUAUACUGACAUGGGAAGAAUAUCUAAGUCGUGGAGGCAGCCCACAACAACACUGUGUCAUUGUUCACCCCGGGCUCGACCAGGACUAACUUUUACCAGCAUCUCUAACGUCACCUUUCCCCUGAUGCCUCCCCACAACCCCUGGCCCCAGCUCCCAUUCCCGCCCCAUCAUAGCAAAAAAGUAGCAAAGAAAACCCUGAUCCUAAAUCUUUUUCUGGAUUUUUUUUUGCAAGUUCCCACACACAUUUAGUGUCGUCUCAAAAUUCACGCUGUCAACUGUCUCUAGGAAUCAUUUCCAUCUGAGAACAGACCACACAAAGGUUAGUUCGGUGGGUCUCAGUGAAGAUGUUUUAAUUGUCUGACAAUAGAUUCUUCCAUCAUUUGACUUGCAAAUACUGUCCUCUUGCUCUCAGAUAACAUGUUCAGAAUUAGACCAUUUGUCAAUAAAUUUCCCAAAACUCCUUAAUUAUGAUACUGAAAUACAA